rnacentral:lncRNA from 1 species
CAUGGGAAAAAGGACAAGAUUAAGGAGUCCUUCUCAAAUUCCAUCUUUUUCACACGUGCAACUUGGAAGCUUCUUUUCCCUAGAUCUUUUGUGCGUUAGGAGUCUUCUUCAAGUUUUCCUUCUAUAUGUUGUAGGUUUGGAGUCUUUAAAGGACUCCUUCUUGGAUUUGUCUUGUUGUUUACAUGCUUCACCCAUGCGAAAGGAAGCUUCCCUCCCAUGCGUGUGGUUAUCGUGUGUGCAGCAUGGUGCUUUA